AAUAGAUACCCGGGUAGUCCAUGCCGUAAACGAUGUCUACUAGCCGUUGGGGCCUUUGGGGCUUUAGUGGCGCAGCUAACGCGAUAAGUAGACCGCCUGGGGAGUACGGUCGCAAGACUAAAACUCAAAUGAAUUGACGGGGGCCCGCACAAGCGGUGGAGCAUGUGGUUUAAUUCGAUGCAACGCGAAGAACCUUACCUGGUCUUGACAUAGUAAGAACUUUCCAGAGAUGGAUUGGUGCCUUCGGGAACUUACAUACAGGUGCUGCAUGGCUGUCGUCAGCUCGUGUCGUGAGAUGUUGGGUUAAGUCCCGCAACGAGCGCAACCCUUUUCCUAUUUGCCAGCACUUCGGGUGGGAACUUUAAGGAUACUGCCAGUGACAAACUGGAGGAAGGCGGGGACGACGUCAAGUCAUCAUGGCCCUUACGACCAGGGCUACACACGUGCUACAAUGGUCGGUACAAGGGGUUGCUACCUAGCGAUAGGAUGCUAAUCUCAAAAAGCCGAUCGUAGUCCGGAUUGGAGUCUGCAACUCGACUCC
rnacentral:rRNA from 1 species